rnacentral:pre_miRNA from 1 species
CUUAUGCGGCAGCAUAGGACUGAAUUAUGGGAGGACUUAUAUGAUCCUACCCCCUUUUCAUUUUUAUGCUGCUUCGGAG